AACCUUGCCUCUGCUGCCUUAUUGCCAGUUACAUUAAAUACUGUAUAUGAUAAUGUUUAUUAAUACUGUACUAUAGUCAACAUCUGUGAGAGCAUAUAUAAUGGCCCCGAUGCAGAAAAAAGUUGAAAAGAAAGGCAGUAAGAAGAAGGAGAUGACUAUGGCAGAAGUUAAGGAAAUCAUCGAGAAGAAUGAACAAGGUAUGUCCAUGGAUUGGCAGGUCAUUUUGAACUUUAGAAUGCUUUAUACCAAAGCACUAUUUUCAGCGAUGCUUUGAGGUGACUGAAGGAUCAAACCUUACCUUCCAAGAGUUUGGGAAAAAUCAUUUCCACAUCAUGAACUACCUCAAGAUCAUCAAUAAAGCCUGGGAUGGGGUUAUCAAGAGAACCCUCAAUUCUGCGUGGAGAGCUAUGGCCUGAUUGUGUUCUUGAACAUGACUUAGAGGGGCUUGAUCAUCACCAGUUGUGGAUGAAAUUGUGUCCUUGGGGAAGAUUGUGGGACUGGAGGUGAAUGAGGGUGACAUUCAAGAGCUGGUGGGGAAACAUGGCCAGGAGCUGACCACUGAUGAACUGAUGGAUCUGUGUCAAGAGCAAGAGUAAGAGGUUAUGUGGCACAAAAACAGAUACUCAGAUCAAUGGAACAGAAUAGAGAACCCAGAAAUGGACUCACAAACGUAUGGUCAACUAAUCUUUGACAAAGCAGGAAAGAAUAUCCAAUGGAAUAGACAGUCUCUUCAGCAAGUGGUCCUGGGAUAACUGGACAGUGAUGUGCAGAAGAAUGAACUUGGACCACUUACAGCAUGCACAAAAAUAAACUCGAAAUGGAUGAAAGACCUAAAUGUAAGACAGGAAGCCAUCAAAAUCCUCAAGGUGAAAGCAGGCAAAAGCCUCUUUGAUCUUGCCUGCAGCAACUUCUUACUCAACAUGUCUCUAGAGACAAGAGAAAGAAAAGCAAAAAUGAACUACUGGGAUGUCAUCAAAAUAAAAAGCUUCUGCACAGCAAAGGAAAAAAUCAGCAAAACUAAAAGGCAACCGACACAAUGGGAGAAGAUAUUUGCAAAUGACAUAUCAGAUAAAGGGUUAGUAUCCAAAAUCUAUAAAGAACUUAUCAAACUCAAUACCCAAAAAGCAAAUAACCCAGUGAAGAAAUGGGCAAAAGACAUGAAUAGACACUUCUCCAAAGAAGACAUCCAGAUGGCCAACUGACACAUGAAAAAAUGCUCAACAUUACUCAUCAUCAGGUCCUCCAUGGAGUAAGAGAAGUAUCUCUUCCCAGUGAUUCCUCAGUUUUCCUUUUCUUCUGAUAUCUAGAUUCUGACAAGAUAUUUGAGUUGGGGCAAGCCAACACUGUUUCUUGAGCUUAGCACCUCAUUGCUGAUCAACCGUGAACGAUCACAUUCAUCAAAAUUACUCCACGGAGGUGAAGGCUCCAUGGACCACCUGAUCAGUGUGCAUCCAAGGACCUGGGCACCUACCUUUCUCUACGCUACUGUUUCCACCUGGAGGAUGUGGAUGUUGAGAGCAUGGGCCAUUUUUUUCCGCCAGAGGGUGCCACGUGUCCCUUGACCUUAACAAACCAGCUCUGUGGCUGUGCUGUCUUUCAGGACAGUCAGAAACCGCGGACAUCAUGGAAGCCGCCAUGGCCCUGGACGGAGAAGGACCUGAAGCUGCAUGUACUGAACUGUGCAUGUCCUGCCUGUCCCCGGGCAGACCCCCAUCUCUGUGACUUCCUGGAGAACCAUUUCCUGGAUGAGGAGAGGAAACUGUUCAAGAAGAUGGGCAAAAACUUGACUGUGCAGGCUGGCUGGCCUCCAGGCGGGGCUGGGUGAGUGUCUCUUGGAAAGGCUCACCCUCAGUUGCCACUGGGAACCUCUGGAGCCCCACGGUGUCAGGGCUUUUGCCUGAGCCUAUCCCUGCAGUCACUAGGAGGCUUUUCAACCACCCUGGAACCUUCUUCAAAGCUGCGGACCAAAUGGAGACAAUAAAAUUUUGUGCAGAAAAAAAGAAAAAUUCUGGCUUAUUGGUGGAUUGUUGCAGUUGAAACCCGCAUUAUUCAAGGGCCAACUUAUAUUUGUUUAUAUGUCUCAUUUGAACUCGUUGAAGGCAAGAACUAUCUUCAAUUACUAGUGCGGGUGCAGGGUAAUUUGAGUCCAUAAUUGAGAUAUGCAUUGAGUUGGUCAGAGUGGACAGAAAAGGUGGGUAAAGGAGACCUGAUGAAGAAACGAUUAAUUAUGCUCCAGUGAUUGAAGCUGGCACUGGAGAAGCAAAGUGAAUAGUAGAGAUGAUUCUAGGAUUUUAAGAGCUUGGGGAGCUGAGAGAACAAUGACUAUUAAAAAAUGUUUUUUUAAUUUAUUUUGAGAGAGAGAGAGCGUGCACACAUGCGUGAGAGCGAGGUGGGAGGGACAAAGAGAGAAGGAGAGAGAAUCCCAAGCAGACUUUUUGCUGUCCGGGCAGAGCCUGACAUGGGGCUCGAUCCUACCAAUAGUGAGACCAUGACCCCAGUGGAAAUCCAGAGCCAGGAGCUUAACCGGCUGAGCCACCCAGGUGCCCCUAAAAGGAUGACACUAUUAACAGAAGAAAGGACAUCAGCAAAGAAUGAGUUUUGGAGAUGAAAUGGAAAUACAUGUUAUACAUUAAAUGUGACACAAGAGAUAUGAAUUAUGCAGUCAACUCGGUAUGUGCUGAUGAGCACAAAGCCCAAGGCACGUUCCGUCGAGUUUCUAUGAAGAUCUAUAAUGAGUUUCAAGUACAUCAUUUCCUGAUGGAGGAUAAGAAAACAUCCAUCAAUGCAAAUUUUUGCACAUUUUUUCAGCUUUUAUGAAUACUUUACAACUUCUAAAAAGAGUGAAUUUCGAAAGUGCAACUUGAGCAAAUUCUAUGAGUAAUUUUAUAUUCUACUGUUUAGGCUCAGUGGAAGCUUCGA